UGUUUGCCAGGCUUGACCAGGAUCAGAACUUGCCAGGCAACCAGCCAAAACUCCAGGAAAGAACUGCAAAAAUAAGAUGAUGGGGUUCCUUUAUUUGGCAGCUACCUGCAAAACAAUUACCAACGCCAGUCAGCAGGACAGGAAGUACACUUCAUCUGAUGCCAGAUCCAACCGCGUUCGAUAAACCCCCCCCCACAGCUGACGUGAGGGAAUUUGGCAGCAUUUGGGGAAAAAACAAAACAAAACCAUGACACAACAAACCAAACCAUCUGUCCCACUGUCUGUCCAGCAGAGGAGCAGUAAAAAUAGAAACUACAACUGCCAUAAAGCAGCAAGGCAACUGGGAAGCAGAGAGUUUGUUCAUGUGGUUUUCUUUUAGGUGGUCAUAAUGAAUCAAUUAAACAAUGCUUUUGAUUA